UACGAAGGGGGCUAGCGUUGCUCGGAAUUACUGGGCGUAAAGGGAGCGUAGGCGGCCUGUUUAGUCAGAGGUGAAAGCCCAGGGCUCAACCUUGGAAUUGCCUUUGAUACUGGCAGUCUUGAGUACGGAAGAGGUAUGUGGAACUCCGAGUGUAGAGGUGAAAUUCGUAGAUAUUCGGAAGAACACCAGUGGCGAAGGCGACAUACUGGUCCGUUACUGACGCUGAGGCUCGAAAGCGUGGGGAGCAAACAGG
rnacentral:rRNA from 1 species